rnacentral:lncRNA from 1 species
UCCUGUCUGUCAGUAUGUAGUCACUAAUAAAUGAGCAAGAAAAAAUAACUGAAUUGAAAUGAAACCAUUAACAAACUGAUCCCUUGGAAACAUUAUGGCAACAAUGAUAGUGAAGCAAGGCUGCCUGUAACCUACCUUGGCACAUGUAGGGCGUUCUGCAAAGUGUAGUCCGUGCACUUGAAUUCUUCUGGAAGAUGCUGAUGUUUACUGUGGUAUCUCUUCUUUGCUCCUGCACUUACAUUUGUGUUGCUCCAGUACCUGACAGGGGAAGGAUGCUGUGUCUUUAAAGCCUUCUCAGGGCUGUGCGGAGGCAGUUCCAUUGAAGUAUUUGAAUGAGAGCAAGAGGGGGGUGUGCAUGUGGCUAUUGGCAGAGCUCUCUAUGACAUCCCUCUGAACAGCUGGGCUCUGCUUUGCUUCAGAGCUGCUUGUCAGAGCAAUUAGCUUGCUGUAGCAGCAGCAAAGAUCGCUAGCAUUUUAUUCAGGGUUGAGAGCUGGCGGGGGCUUCUAAGAAGCAGUAUUAUCUUGGCAAAAUUCCUCUUGAACUGGUUGUGGCAAUGAAGUCUCCAUUGAAAUCAGGAAACAGAUGACCUGCUGAGAGUGCAAAACCACCACGUAUAGGUAUAAGUGCAAGCGAGUGUUUCAGGGAUGGGGACCUGACAUCAUUCAUCUCUGCGUUCUGCCUAGGGACCCUCAGAGGAACUGUCCACAAAAAUUUACAGCAAUAUGUUUGGACCAAACAUUUUGUUAACAAGGGGUGAGAGGGUUCUUGCUUGGCUUCACUGCAGCUCCCAAAAUAAAAAGAGAAGAACAGCAUCACUGUUUUGGUUGGUUUGUUUUUAACAUCAAACAAAUAAUAUCCCCUUAGACUAACAGAAGGAAGAGCAGACGGACUGAAGAUGGCUGCUAUUGC